GGUCUGGGCGCACUUCGGUGACGGUACAGGCC
rnacentral:misc_RNA from 1 species